GUUUUUUUAUUGAGUUGGCUUUUUCCUGCUUAUAAAAAGAAAUUUGCUGUUCACCCGAAGCUAAAAUGUUAUACCCUGAAGAUGAUUUGAUUACAUAUGACGCAUUGAACUCUGCAUCCGAUUCAUCGGAAGACGAGUCGAGCUACGAGGAUCUACUGGAUCGAUGUGAUGGGGCCGAUUCUGCUUCGUACCUCGUAAACGAAUUUUUCGCGCGUGAUCAGUCGGGGAAUAGAGAAGAGACGAACAACGCAAGCGAACCACGUGCUUCCGGCUUUAAACCAAGAUCGGUUUCCAAGAGAAAGAACGGGUUGUCUACAUUGAACGAGCCGUCAGGAAGCAAGAGGC